rnacentral:rRNA from 1 species
CAGUCGCCGCGGUAAUACGUAGGGUGCAAGCGUUAAUCGGAAUCACUGGGCGUAAAGCGUGCGCAGGCGGUUUCGUAAGACAGAUGUGAAAUCCCCGGGCUUAACCUGGGAACUGCAUUUGUGACUGCGAGGCUAGAGUGUGUCAGAGGGGAGUGGAAUUCCACGUGUAGCAGUGAAAUGCGUAGAUAUGUGGAGGAACACCGAUGGCGAAGGCAGCCCCCUGGGAUAACACUGACGCUCAUGCACGAAAGCGUGGGGAGCAAACAGGAUUAGAUACCCCUGUAGUCCCUGUCUCUUAUAA